AAGAGAAAGAGGGAAUCCUGGCUGCAGCCACUUCAAAACAUUUCUAUCCACAAGGGCGGAAGCUGAACACCCUGGACCUCCUAAUGCAGUUGCUGCUAGGGAUACACCGGUGAGAUGGCAAAGUGACCCAAUAGCUUCAACGCAGCAAACUGAGGAGGCACCAGCUGAGUCAGCGAGUAGGCAAAAAGUCAAGAAGACAAUAGUGUGCCAGGUGGAGUAGUCCCAGUCACACCACAAGCUGAAAUGGCGGUGCCAGCUGUCCUUACAAGUUCCAACUGUUGCCUUGUUAGAUUAAGGCUGACUGAAUGGGGGCAAAGAAUCUAAAAUGCAGCCCUUCUGAAUGUUCUGCCAGCUUUCAUUCUUGCCAAUGUGAGCAAAAUCUUACCUCAAGAAAGACACCAUGAACUGGGCCAGAACAAGGUAGAAUGGAUCACUGCAGGGUGUUCCUGGUUAUUAUAUCCUAUGUUGUGGAAUUGUGAAUUUCAGCACAGGAAUUCUGAAGAAAUGAGACUUUGCUCUUCUGCCUCAGGCUCAGAGCCUAGGACACUUC